GUGGCUCAAUUUGAUUCGGUAGUGGUCCUGAUUAUCACCAGUAGACAGGCUUCUAAUCGGGAUUAGGGGCGCUCCGCUUGCUCCGGUUUAUGUCUCCUCCUCUGAUCCUUUGCCUCACCCUAGUAUCAAAAAGACACCAAUCUUCCGGUGAGUGUCUCUGGAGCUGCAAGAGCCACAAUCUUCCGGUUUAGAGAUAUGGGUUUUGUAGAUUGGUUAUGGAACAAUGGAGAAGCAGUGAAGGAGAGUUUUGGAUGUCGAAGGAUAAAACAUUAAUAUAUUCAAGCAUAUAAAAAUGGACAGAUGUGAAGAAAUAGAAGAAGAAUGUUUUAAUUAUUACUAGAUUUUAACGCGCACGUUCGUGCGGAUAUUUUUCUAUUUUUAUAUGUAUUUUAUAUUAUUACAAAUGUUUUAAAUGUAUAACUGAUAUUUUAGUGUUAUAUAUUGUGUAACUAUAUAGUAUUAUUGUUUACAUUUUUUAUUUGGUUUUAUUAAUAUA